UACGAAGGAGGCUAGCGUUGUUCGGAAUUACUGGGCGUAAAGCGCGCGUAGGCGGUGAUCUUUGUCAGAGGUGAAAGCCUGGGGCUCAACUCCAGAAUUGCCUUUGAAACGGGAUCGCUUGAGUCCGAGAGAGGAUGGCGGAAUUCCUAGUGUAGAGGUGAAAUUCGUAGAUAUUAGGAAGAACACCGGUGGCGAAGGCGGCCAUCUGGCUCGGUACUGACGCUCAGGCGCGAAAGCGUGGGGAGCAAACAGGG
rnacentral:rRNA from 1 species